rnacentral:rRNA from 1 species
CGCGUAGGCGGCUUGUUAAGUCAGAUGUGAAAGCCCCGGGCUCAACCUGGGAAUUGCAUUUGAUACUGGCAGGCUAGAGUGUGGUAGAGGGAAGUGGAAUUCCGGGUGUAGCGGUGAAAUGCGUAGAUAUCCGGAGGAACACCAGUGGCGAAGGCGACUUCCUGGACCAACACUGACGCUGAGGUGCGAAAGCGUGGGAGCAAACA